rnacentral:rRNA from 1 species
AUUGAACGCUGGCGGCAGGCUUAACACAUGCAAGUCGAACGAGUGGCGGACGGGUGAGUAAUGCUUGGGAAUCUAGCUUAUGGAGGGGGAUAACUCCGGGAAACUGUAGCUAAUACCGCGUACCCUAGGAUGUGCCCAGGUGGGAUUAGGUAGUUGGUGAGGUAACGGCUCACCAGGCCGACGAUCUCUAGCUGGUCUGAGAGGCUGACCAGCCACCCUGGGACUGAGACACGGCCCAGACUCCUACGGGAGGCAGCAGUGGGGAAUAUUGCGCAAUGGGGGCAACCCUGACGCAGCCAUGCCGCGUGAAUGAAGAAGGCUUUAGGGUUGUAAAGUACUUUCAGCGGGGAGGCGUUACCCGCAGAAGAAGCACCGGCUAACUCCGUGCCAGCAGCCGCGGUAAUUC